AUGCAUCGUUGCUAUCGAUGGCCAUCAACUGUAGAGAGAAUGCACAUUUAAUCUUGGACAAAAUCACUAAAGAGGUUACAAAUACAAUAAUUUUUUUUUUUUUUUUUUUUUUUUAGACAAAGAGUUUUAUUAAUUUUUAAAUUUAUUUGUUAAUGUAUUCUUUAUUUCAUCAUCGUUAUUGUGGAUCUAAUUUUUAUAAUUGUGUUUGUAUAUGUUGUAAUAAUUUUUAUUUUAACCAAUUGAUAUUUAUUUUUUACGAUUUUAUAUAAUUUGAUAUGUUAGUAUAGGUAAUUUUAGCCAAGUCUAAUUUAUUUUUAUUUUUAUUUUUUGUAUUAAAUGUAUUUGGUCAACGAAGAAAAUAAACAAAAUAAAAGCCCGUCUACAACUCAACAUCAAAGCCCAAGGUUCCAAGCCCAGAUUGUAAGUCCCGGUUGCGAAGGGACUCCCAAACCCCACUGCUCUCCCAUCAAAUUAGACACAAGAUCAAUCCUCUCUCAUCCAAUUGGAAAUAAAUCAAACGAUUCAAACCCUUUCUGCGUAUUCUCAGCCUGUACACGUUUUUGAUGUAAUGCUUGUAAGUAAUUGAGUUUCAGGCAUGGUGAUUACAUGGUGUGUUUUUGUCGUGUGGGGUUAGUUUUCCAUCUGGGUUGUCCUUAAACUUUCUUAAAUUGUAUAUGUGUAGCUUUGGAUUUUGUUUUUGUGUUGUGCUAUGCAGUGUAUAUAGGUGAAAAUCAAUUGGGCUUGUUCUGAUUUAGAGGUUGGUUGUGUUGAAAACUGUAUUUUUGGUUCACACACUUUCUUUUCUUUGGGAUCUGAUAGGUAAUUAUGUGUAUAUUUAUUUGUUCACAUACAUACGUAUAUCUAUAUAUGUGUAUAUAUGCUAGUUCUUCUAAUCCAUCUUCAGAACCCAUUUUCUUCUAAUUAUUUCUAUAAAAACUAAUCCUUAUUGACAUUGAAUAAUUAACUUAAAAUUCAAACAAUUAUGUUAUAAUUCUAACUAUAUUUCCUAAAGAACAAUAUUCAUUUUUUUUUAUAAUUUUAUUCUCUUAUAAAAAUUGAUGAAUUAAAGUACAGAAGAAAGGUAUAUUCCAACCUACGAAAAUGUUAUUGAUUAGGUUCGGCGCACUUAACAAUACUUCUGUUAAAAUUUUGCUACAAUAACUUGAUCUAGCAUCCAAUUGCUGGACAAAUUUUUUUUUUUUUCUUAUAAUUAUAUUCUCUUUCAUAUUCUUUCCAACAUAUUUGUUUAAUAAAAUUAAUUUAUGAAGAGGUCAUUUAUAUUAAAUAAAAUAUAAUUAAAAAUAUAUAAAAUUAAUUUUUUAGUAAAAUUAAUUUUCUAUUACCUUCGUUACAAUUCUAUUAUAAUUCUAGCUAUUUCCUAAAGAACAAUAUUUUUUUUCCUUAUAAUUUUACUCUUAUAAAAAUUGAUAAAUUAAAGUACAAAAAAAAAAAAAUGAA